UACGCCCGAUCUCGUCCGAUCGCUUACGGCCAUACCAGCCUG
rnacentral:rRNA from 1 species